CAGCCGCCGCGGGAAAACGAAGGUCCCAAGCGUUGUUCGGAAUCACUGGGCGUAAAGGGUGUGUAGGAGGUUUGGUAAGUCAGGUGUGAAAUCCCACAGCUCAACUGUGGAACUGCAUUCGACACUGCCGAACUAGAGGCUUGGAGGGGGAAGCGGAAUUCUUGGUGUAGCGGUGAAAUGCGUAGAUAUCAAGAGGAACACCGGUGGCGAAGGCGGCUUCCUGGACAAGUCCUGACUCUGAAACACGAAAGCCAGGGGAGCGAACGGGAUUAGAUACCCCCGUAGUCCCUGUCUCUUAUAA
rnacentral:rRNA from 1 species